AGGGCAUCACUUUGGAGGCUGCUUAGACAUUGUGAGGUGCCAGAGAAAAUCACUAACAUCAUCAGGAACUCUCACGAGUGACUGACUUGUAGAGCUGUCCACAGCGGUCAACUCACAGACACCUUCCUGGUACAAACAGGAGUGCGGCAGGGUUGUUUGUUGUCGCUGUUGUUUCUCCUGGCCAUCGAUUGGGUCAAAUGGCAUCCAGUGGACUCUAUGGAACCAACUGGAUGAUCUCGACUUUGCGGACGACUUGGCCCUUCUUUCCCACACCCAGCAGCAGAUGCAGGAAAAAAAAACAGCAUUGUGGCAGAAAACUUCACUCACCUUGGCCUCAACAUCCACAAAGGGAAGAGCAAGUUCCUGAAGGUCAACACUACCAACACAUCACCCAUCGUGCUGGAAGGGGAACUGCUAGAGGAGGUGGAUGACUUCACAUACCUUGGCAGCAUCAUAAAUAAACAGGGUAGAACCGAGGCCGAUGUGAAAGCAAGGAUUGGCAAGGCCAGGAUAGCUUUUCUCCAACUAAAGAAUAUCUGGAGCUCAAGAGACUUGUCCAUCAAAACAAAGAUCAGGGUGUUUAACACAAACGUGAAGUCACUGCUGCUCUAUGGCUCUGAAACAUGCAGUACCACUGUAACCACCACCAAAAAGAUACAAACAUUUAUCAACAUAUGUCUGCAGCGCAUUCUCCAGAUCAGAUGGUCCGAUACGUCAACACCCGGGGAACUCUGGCAGCACACAAGCCAAAAACCAGCAGACAAAGAGAUCAUCCAAAAUCGCUGGAGAUGGUUAAGACACACUCCCCUUAUACCGGCUUCCAACAUCACUAGGCAAGCCUUGACAUGGAACCCCCAAGGGAAAAGAAAGAGAGGCCAACCUCGAAACAAUUGGUGCAGAGACCUUGAAGCCGAUGUCAAGACUACAGGCUGCACUUGGGGACAGCUGGAGAGACUGGCCCAGGACCGGGUAGGGGGUACCAGUAGGGGGUAAUAAGCCUAAGUAAGUAAGUGCCUUUAAGACUUUGCAUGUGAGCUGCUGUGCUUUGG
ensembl:lncRNA